UCAGCUAGUGGUGAGCUCCAUCCUCUGAUCUUCGGGCAAGCUUUUUUGUACAAGCAAGACAUCACCACACGGUAGGAUGGCAGCGAGGCUCAGGAAGGCUACAGACAGCAGUGUCUCUGGCAGGUUGAUAUACCAGCAGGCUGGAUGCCAGCGGCUCUAGGUGACUCCCUUGGUGACUGCAGAGCAAGGACGACAGGCUUCUAACACAGCCACAGACAGCACAGCAGCCAGCCCCAUCUACUGGCUCCCUUGCUUUACUCAAUACCACCUAAGGCGAUGCCAUGUCUGAUUGAGUCUCCCAGGUGUGCUGAAAUCAGACACCAAGGAGGCAGCGACAGAGAUGGGUGCCUGAGGGUAACAGAGUUGUGAGAGCGGGAGUGUGCUCAUGGGGGGUGUCCUGCUGCAUGUGUUUCUCUUAUUGGUUGAUGACUAAGACACUGAUUGACCAGGCGGAAAGGUAGGCGGGGCUAGGAGAUGAAGAAGAGAAGGUGGAGAGAGGCUGCCAGGAGGAGAAGCCAUGUAGCCGCCAAAGGAGUAACAGAUCCGGGCAUUCGCCGAUAAGCCAAGUCCAUGUGGAAACACAUAGAUUUAUAGAAAUGGGUUAAUAAUUAAGAUGGAGCUAGCCAGUAAGAAGCCCUAGCCAUCGGCCAACAGUUUUAUAAUCAAUAGAGUAUCCGUGUGCUUAUUUGGGGCUGAAGGGUGGUGGGAAUGCAUGAGCAGUGUGCAUCCCCACAGCAGAUACCCCGGAAUCUGGGCCUGGAUCCUUUACCAUGGGAGGGUGCAUGGAGCUGACUAUGGGCUAAGGCCCAGAAGCGGUGGGCCUUCUCUAGAUUUGGUUCUACUGCACUCUGACCUUGAACCUCUGACCUCUAGAGAUUUGGGCACGAGGAUCUGUUGUGCAUCUGCCACUGGGUUGUGGUGCCAUCUUACAGCAAUCCUGGGGGACUGAGGCAGAGGGGACAAGGGUGGGUUAUUUGCCAUAGCACCAGGACAGGCCUGUGGGAGGCCCUAGCUGCAUCAGCUCCUGCCAGGUGGGUUGGCUCUCGUUCCCUUACAGGGCACACAGAUCUGGGGGAUCUGGGGUGGUGUUGCCAGAGACCCCUUCAGAAAGGGAGACUUGUUCCCUCCAGGAAAGCAGAGGGCACGCUGCACCCUGCCUUGUAUACAUCAGUGCAGGGAUUGCUUUGUCAGAACACUUCAGGGAGUUGGUUACCAGGCAGCCAGUGAAAGGAGGAUGGCAAUUUACAUAUGCAAAUUAGGCAGGAUCAUGCCAAGUGAUCUCACUCAAUGCUUCAUUUGCAUUUUAGGAGUCCUUGUACAGGGGGACAGGAAUGACCAGUUAGGGAUUAUAAUGUUAGUAACAGAGGCGGUAAGAUGACAGACAGUGAAGUCUGCGGUGAGGUGACAUGUCUGUCUUAAGUCCACAGGCCUCUGCCACUCCUCACCUUGGAUGUGAAGAAAUUGAGGCUGGGUCUCAGAGCCCUGGUAGGGUUCAGUGGGCACCCCUGGUCUGUUCCUACCAUGAUGAACAUGCUGGAAGGUUAGGCUGUCCUGGGCCCUCACCUCACAGAUGCACUUGUCGAAGCCAACCGUGUAGUGUGUGAGUGAGCUGCUGAACUCUGUGUAAGCCAGAGGCAUGAGGCUGCUGCCAGCACUGUCCUGCUGAAGUGUCCGCACAGCAAUUAGCUAGGAAAUUGAAUUGAGAAAACUGAUUUCCCUAAUAAAGUGAUUGCAAUGCAAUCACUCGUUAAGAUCUGGAGCUAGAGAGAGAGAUUUUGUGUCACGUCACGGCUGUCUGUCCUCACUCUGGCUUCCCGUUGGGAAUCACAUGCUUACCCACAGGCUAUGUUUCUCCUCCUGGGUCAGGCUGAUCCCAUUCCAGGCCUCUGAGGUUGUUCUCCAGGGCACAGGUUAUAGGUGAUUAUCCUGGGAGAGUCCAGGCUAAUUGCACAGCCCUGAGCUCCACUGUGCGACUGUGAUUCUUUUGGUGGGGUUGGUGCUGAAGUCAGAGGGGCUGUCAAGGUAGGAAGAGGGGAUGGUUCAUGUUUCAAGGCCCAUAAGACUGUGGAGAUCCCAGGACACGGGGCCCUGAAUCCCAGAACCACUAAGUACUUGAAAGAUCUGAAGGUAGGUAAGCUGGGGAGAUGACCCAACUGGUGAAACACUCACCAAGCAAGCAUGGGGACUUGAAUUCUAGCCUCAAAACCAUAUAAAAAGCUUCAUACAUCUGUAACCCCAGUUCUGAGGGAUCAGAGACAGGGGGAUGCUUGAAGCUUGUGAGUGAGCCAGCCUAGCUGAAUACCAGUGAGUUCCGGGUUCGGAGAGUGACCCUGUCUCAACAUAUGCACAAAAAGAUUCAGGGGUCCCCAGAGUGGGAUACUGGAGCCUCAGGGCUCUGGGCAUCUGGUGGUUUGCCCUGGAACAGCAGCUGCCCAGGUUUUCCCUGGGGUGGCAUGGGGUCAGUCUGCCUUUGGGCAUCUUUGGCAACAAAAUGGUCAGAAUCCUACACCUUGAGCCAUGGUUUGGGAGGGUCCCCUGCUGUGUGUUGCAGCGGUGGGGGCUGGAAGCCAGAGUCUUUUCAGGAGUGGCUAGAUCUGCGUCAAGCCCCAUCUGGCAUCCUCCUGCUCCCGAGACUCGUGAGGGAGGCCUUCCUCAAGGGUGUAGCUCCACGCUGGUGGCCAUCUUUUAGGAAAUGACAGCCUGAGCACCAUAACACGUGGCACUGGAUGGUUAGAACCUGAACCGGGAGAGUCUGGAGGCCCUCCUUUUCCCAUGACUCAUUCUGUGCUUUCUGGUGUUAGAACAGAUUCCAGUGGCUGGAGAGAAGAAGUCUUAGAGCUAAGAGCACUCGCUGCUCUUGCAAAGGACCUGGACUCUGUUCCCAACACCCACGUGGCAGCUCACAGCUAUGCAUGACACCAGUUUCAGGGUCUCUGAUACCUUCUUCCCGCCUCCUCUGGCACCAGACAUGUACACAGUGAUCACAUAGUUUCCUGUUUCCUUGCCCUGGAAGUCUUUCCUGGAAGAACCAAGUGGACAGGAGUGUUGGGCAAGUAGCCCUAUCUUGAAGCCAUAGGGUUCAGGACAAUACAAAGUGUGACCAGAGCCUCAAAUUCCUGCCUUCCCCAUCUCGAUGAAGUGCUCACUUGAGGGCGACCCAUAACCAACUCUUUCUUCCUUGUGAUGCCUUGGUCAGGUGUUUUGCGGCAGCAGCGUGAAAGUAUCCAGGGCAGCGCCUUCUGGGUGGGAGUGGGGCGUGAAGGGUUCCCCCACCCCCCACAAAAAUGAUUAUUGUAUCGCUGUGAUCAGAGGCUGCUGGGAGCCCAGGGGAGGGGGUGCUGGGGAUGAGAUGAGAAUGGCCACCCUUUGGGAGGGAGGAAUGUGCACCUACCUUCUUGAGGCUGUGUGAUAGAAGGUGGUGGGGCGGGCCUGGGGGUCCUCACAGUGCCAAGUGAGAAACCCAGGGAUGCAAGAAGAGAGUGGACGUUUCUUGAAAUGGCGCCACACGCUGGCAGCGCAAGGGAACAGAUAUUUACCAGCUGAACCACAGCACACUGCCAAGAUAGAAGCCACAUCUGUGCCAACCAGUCAGGCUAGUCAAGAAUUUGGCACAUAGCAAGAAAAUGGAGACAGUCAGUCAAAGGCUCCCUGGUGCAGAGUAGUCAACUCCGGGUAAGGCACACAGUAUGCCCUUCCCGAAUCUCUCAUAAGUGUGUCUAACCCUUUGGCUCUGACAGAUAUUAUCGUCCAUAAAACUCUUGCUUGCCAUAUAAUUAAGUUAUAAGAAAAAAAUUGCAAAAAAAUCUGAUAAUGUUUUAAGCAUGUUCGUGAUUUUUGUGUCAGGGCACAUGUAGCACAUGGGGUGUGAGUUGGACUUGUGCUAACAAUCGCAUGUCUGGAGUAAGGUUUUGGGUAGGGUCUUGGGCCCUGUGUCCCUCACUGAAACCUGUAGGGAGGAUCAGAGCUUGGGGCUGAGGGCCUAGAAGAAGAGCCUCAGGGACCCCAAGGUCUUCCCUGGCAAGGGUGUUGGGCAAGGGGAAGCCUCCCGGGGAGGAAGCCCCCCUGGGGAGAGCUAGGGGGACCCAGUCUUGUCUGCUGAGGUUAGUAACUUCUUGGCCCUCGGUGAGCUGCCAGAACAGCAUGCCCCUCUGAAACACCACUGGGCCUGGAACAUCUUAAUAGCAUUAAAGAAAAGACCAUGACCAAGCCCCAUUCAUCUUACGAAAAUUGUCCCUGUGCUUGACACGUUGUAUAGGACACAUUUUUUAAAAAAUAAAAACAGGGCUUUGAGCAAAAGAAGCCCAAUUUGUUGAAAACAACCUGUGGAGUUGUGACAGAUGUGAUUUUGACUAACGAGAGCCAACUGGAUGGGAGCGGGGUUUUCAAUUAUGGAUGAGCUAAUUACAGGGGCACGUGGAGUUGAGAUUGCCGCCACGGCUCUGCCUCUCUCCCUCUGACUGGUCCAGCCUGCUAGUUAGGAUAAUUAAUGAGACCUUGGUCUUGCAUUAUUUUGCCAGGCGCAAACUCUCACUUAAUUUUCUGACCUGCGGUUUACCGUGAGGUUUGCCCACGGGGCGCAGGGGUCCAGGUGGGAUGCGCUGCUCCCUUUGCAGGAAUCUCGGGGUUUAAUGAAAGCCUCUUGCGGCUUUGCAGAGCUCCCUUCUUCAUCUGCAGGGGGUGACUGUAGCUCAGAUCUCCAGAGCAACUCGCGGACUCUGGCUACCACGAAUAAGCAAGGCUAGGUUAAAAGACAGACAAGGCUGAAGUCCUUGGGGGUAGCUUUGGAAAAGCCACCCCUACACAGUGGCUGAAGAGCAAUUGCCAGCACAGGAUCUAUGAGUGUCUGGCUGAGGGCUGGCCCACCCGGCAGGGUUAGCUUCUGGAAGCAGCUAACUGAAGUCCCGCCCUCCUUUUUUUCUUUACAAACGUUAAAAAAAAUAAAAGUGCCUGAUUACAUCACACAUUUACAAAGUUUGGGCAUUGAGGUGCUUUUUAAAAUUUUCUGAAAAAAAUUUUCCUGUAUGUACUAUUUAAUCCAUGGAAACUUCAUGCCGUCAGGUGACAUGCAAAUGACCAAAUUCAGGCAGAAAGGAGCGGAAUAAUUUGUCUAGUCUCCCAAAGAUUCCAGCGUCAGAGCCUGGAGUGGAUCUGAGACAGUCAGACUUCAAAGUCCCCAGCUUAACUACCCACCACACCACCUGCAGAGCAGUGUGGAUCCCCCUCUAGGGAAUUGGCCACAUGUGAAAUAGUUCUUUCCUCCCCUUCACUCGCUCCUGGGGAGGAAGUUUAAUGUCACUUCUGUGGUCGGCUGUAUUAGCACCCUCAUCCCUGCUUUGAGAGUAACUCUCCAAGGGUCACCAUAGAUUCACUCCAAAACCCAAGGUUAAGACUGGCAGACAACAUCUUUGUCUUUGCAGCCGAAUAAAUGUCACCUGUUACAACGGCAGGCGGUGGGCUGCGAUUUCUCCUUGCAUACAGACUCUCUGUUUAAAGCGUCUAAUUCCCUUGCUUUUUGCUUGCAUGAUAUGUCAAUGUGCCUUAAGAUCCCUUCAGCCUCCUUGUAACUGUAGCAAGUCUCUGAGAUUUAAUUUAAAAAGCCCUGACAUACCAUUCCCCAGUUCAUCCAU